UACGUAGGUGGCGAGCGUUGUCCGGAUUUACUGGGCGUAAAGAGCGCGCAGGCGGUCGUUCAAGUCGCGUGUGAAAGCCCCCGGCUCAACUGGGGAGGGUCACGCGAUACUGAUCGACUCGAAGGCAGGAGAGGGAAGUGGAAUUCCCGGUGUAGUGGUGAAAUGCGUAGAUAUCGGGAGGAACACCAGUGGCGAAAGCGCUCUGCUAGGACAAUACUGACACUGAGGGACGAAAGCUAGGGGAGCGAAUGGG
rnacentral:rRNA from 1 species